rnacentral:rRNA from 1 species
CCUACGGGGUGCAGCAGUGAGGAAUAUUGGUCAAUGGGCGCGAGCCUGAACCAGCCAAGUCGCGUGAGGGAAGACGGUCCUAUGGAUUGUACACCUCUUUUGUCGGGGAGCAAAAGACGCCACGCGUGGCGUUCCGAGAGUACCCGAAGAAAAAGCAUCGGCUAACUCCGUGCCAGCAGCCGCGGUAAUACGGAGGAUGCGAGCGUUAUCCGGAUUUAUUGGGUGUAAAGGGUGCGUAGAUGGCAUAGUAAGUCUUUUGUAAAAAUGCUGGGCUCAACCCAGUAGGGCAAAAGAUACUGCAAAGCUAGAGUAUGACAGAGGCAAGUGGAACUACAUGUGUAGCGGUAAAAUGCGUAAAUAUAUGUAAGAACACCAGUGGCGAAGGCGGCUUGCUGGGUCGAUACUGACAUUGAGGCACGAAAGCGUGGGGAGCAAACAGGAUUAGAUACCCCUGUAGUC